UACGUAGGGUGCGAGCGUUAAUCGGAAUUACUGGGCGUAAAGCGCGUGUAGGCGGCUGGUUAGGCGUGAUGUGAAAUCUUCCGGCUCAACCGGAAAACUGCAUUGCGAACCGGCCUGGCUAGAGUGCAUGAGAGGGAAGCGGAAUUCCAGGUGUAGCGGUGAAAUGCGUAGAUAGCUGGAGGAACACCAGUGGCGAAGGCGGCUUCCUGGCCUGCAACUGACGCUGAGACGCGAAAGCGUGGGGAGCGAACCGG
rnacentral:rRNA from 1 species